rnacentral:rRNA from 1 species
GGAGUGAAGCGGCAAAAGCUCAAAUUUGAAACCCUCGGGAUUGUAAUUUGAAGAUUUGGCAUUGGAGAAAGCUAACCCAAGUUGCUUGGAAUAGUACGUCAUAGAGGGUGACAACCCCGUCUGGCUAACCGUUCUUUCCAUGUAAAUUGCCUUAUCAAAGAGUCGAGUUGUUUGGGAAUGCAGCUCAAAGUGAUGGGUGGUAAACUCCAUCUAAAGCUAAAUACUGGUGAGAGACCGAUAGCGAACAAGUACUGUGAAGGAAAGGUGAAAAGAACUUUGAAAAGAGCGAAAAGUGAAAUAGUAUGUGAAAUUGUUGAUAGGGAAGGAAAUGAGUGGAGAGUGGCCGAGGUUUCAGCCGCCCCUCGUGGGCGGUGUACUGCCGACGCCGAGUCAUCGAUAGCGAGACGAGGGUUACAAAUGGGAGCGCCUUUCGGGCGUUCUCCCCUAACCCUCCACACUGCCACCGACGACAUAAUCCACCCAUUUCACCCGUCUUGAAACACGGACCA